GCUUGCGCCCGUGUGCCGUCCCUUCUACUUGGGUGAGACCAAGUCCUUGAGCCCCUGGAGAUCAUGGCUCCUCGUCCGAGAAGAAACAGAAAAGCCAGGUGGUGGCGGCUGCUCUGUUGCUUCUCCAGCACCACAAAGGAAGAAGAGGCUCCUGAGGCCCCUCCUGCCAGUCCACCAGAGACA